AUAUUGACAGACUCCCAGAGCAGCUGUCCAGGUAGCUAGCUUCAAGAGGAUUUGUUCCAAUUCUGAUUCCACUCACCAUGUCAGCGUUAUUCUCACUGGAGUUAAAGAACCAGUCUCCAUAUCUGAAAGCUGAAGGUUGUAAAUCUCCCUUGUGAAUGUUGCCUAUGACAGGGAAGGAAAGACCUGCAUAAUUACCACUUGUACUUCCUCGGCGAACAUGAGCUCAAGUCUGAAGCAAGGAGUUGGGUCAAUAAAACAUCAAGGUCUGAAAACUACAGGAAAAGACCUGUCCAGCUCGUAUGAUAAGGAACUUGUUCCUAGCUACAAAAACCAGAAUAUUCUGGUGGAAGCCUCUUCAUCAGACCUUUGCAUUAUGCAGAAGUGCCAUAUGCAGUCUUUGAAAGCUUUUUUGAAGGAAUCCGUGAUUCUUCAGCCGCUUUGCCAUCUUCUCCAGAGGUGUGCUGAGGAUUUCACACAACACAGCAGGAGGCACGUAAGGUUAUUCCAGCCUGGUUAGAUGGAAGAAAUGCUGUGACCAGGAAAGAUGCCAGCGAGUCAGGGCUGGGCAAUUACUACAGCUGUUCAAAGAAGCACACUGGGCAGUAAUGAAUACCUGUCAUGCUUUCCCAGAAGCAAAAAUACAGCUAUUU
rnacentral:lncRNA from 7 species